rnacentral:rRNA from 1 species
GAGGCGCUCAAAGGUUCCCUCAGAAUGGUUGGAAAUCAUUCAUAGAGUGUAAAGGCAUAAGGGAGCUUGACUGCGAGACCUACAAGUCGAGCAGGGUCGAAAGACGGACUUAGUGAUCCGGUGGUUCCGCAUGGAAGGGCCAUCGCUCAACGGAUAAAAGCUACCCCGGGGAUAACAGGCUUAUCUCCCCCAAGAGUUCACAUCGACGGGGAGGUUUGGCACCUCGAUGUCGGCUCAUCGCAUCCUGGGGCUGUAGUCGGUCCCAAGGGUUGGGCUGUUCGCCCAUUAAAGCGGUACGCGAGCUGGGUUCAGAACGUCGUGAGACAGUUCGGUCCCUAUCCGUCGUGGGCGUAGGAAAUUUGAGAGGAGCUGUCCUUAGUACGAGAGGACCGGGAUGGACAUACCUCUGGUGUACCAGUUGUCGUGCCAACGGCAUAGCUGGGUAGCUAUGUGUGGACGGGAUAAGUGCUGAAAGCAUCUAAGCAUGAAGCCCCCCUCAAGAUGAGAUUUCCCAACUUCGGUUAUAAGAUCCCUCAAAGAUGAUGAGGUUAAUAGGUUCGAGGUGGAAGCAUGGUGACAUGUGGAGCUGACGAAUACUAAUCGAUCGAAGACU